UACGUAGGGGGGCAAGCGUUUGUCCGGAUUUAUUGGGCGUAAAGAGCGUGUAGGCGGCUAGAUAGGUCCGUUGUGAAAACUCGAGGCUCAACCUCGAGACGUCGAUGGAAACCAUCUGGCUAGAGUCCGGAAGAGGAGAGUGGAAUUCCUGGUGUAGCGGUGAAAUGCGCAGAUAUCAGGAAGAACACCAAUGGCGAAGGCAGCUCUCUGGGACGGUACUGACGCUGAGACGCGAAAGCGUGGGGAGCGAACAGG
rnacentral:rRNA from 1 species